rnacentral:rRNA from 1 species
CUUGAAACACGGACCAAGGAGUUUAGCGUGUACGCAAGUCAUUGGGUGAAUAAAACCCAAAGGCGAAAUGAAAGUAAAGAGUUGAGUUUAUAAAAAAGGAAUUUAUUCUUUUUUUAUUUCUCUCUUUAGGGAAGAUGAAAAUUUAAUAUAUAUUAUAUAUGUACUUGUUAUAUAUAUUUAUAUUUAUUUAAAUUUUUCGCAUUCCCAGGGCGCUUGGUUCACGCUUUGCGUGUCUAUGCGCACCUAGAGCGUACACGCUGAUACCCGAAAGAUGGUGAACUAUGCCUGGCCAGGACGAAGCCAGGGGAAACCCUGGUGGAGGUCCGCAGCGAUUCUGACGUGCAAAUCGAUCGUCGGAGCUGGGUAUAGGGGCGAAAGACCAAUCGAACCAUCUAGUAGCUGGUUCCCUCUGAAGUUUCCCUCAGGAUA